rnacentral:rRNA from 1 species
ACUCGGAGACUGAAUUCGAAAGAGGGCCUGUUUCUGAUUGUAAUCCGGAAAGGACUGCUUUGAUUCCGGAUUAGCCACUAAAAAGGGGAACCGCUUCGAUUUCCGACUGCGGCUCAGAGAGGAGCCGCUUGAUUGCUUGGAUUGCCGGUUGCAGCUCGGAGAAGGGCCGCUUGAUUGCGGAUCGCCGCUCCCAAAAAAGCUGCUGCUCUUGCUGCUUCGAUUGGGGACUGCGGCUCCCAAAGGGGGAGCUGCUUAUUUGGUCGCCUACUCGCAAGCAGCACUGGAUCCUCAUUCGAGGCAUCCGACGGCGAUUGCGGCGGCGAGAGGGGGGAGAUGGGCGCACGGCAGGAGGCGGCGGCGCAUAACUGACCCCCGAUCCCCUUUCCUCUCUGGUGGAACCC